UACGGAGGGUGCAAACGUUGCUCGGAAUCAUUGGGCGUAAAGCGCACGUAGGCGGAUUGUUAAGUCGGGGGUGAAAUCCUGGAGCUCAACUUCAGAAUUGCCUUCGAUACUGGCUUUCUAGAGGCUGGAAGAGGUUAGUGGAAUUCCCAGUGUAGAGGUGAAAUUCGUAGAUAUUGGGAAGAACACCAGUGGCGAAGGCGGCUAACUGGUCCAGAUCUGACGCUGAGGUGCGAAAGCGUGGGGAGCGAACCGG
rnacentral:rRNA from 1 species